GGGCGUGGCGCGCCAACGGCAGGCCGAGGAGCCGGGAAGAGGCCCCGCGGGGCGGGGCGGGCCGCAGUGGACGCCGCCCUGCGGCCGCCGACGGCCUGCGUGGCCCUGGGCCAGCUGCCCGCGCCCGCUCCCCGGGCCUGGCCGUCGCUGUGGCCUCCUGGCGGGCCUGGUUUCCCGCGCACGGGGCGCCUCGGCUGAGGGCCGGGGCGGGGCGGCGGAGGUGCCCGCGGGACGAGCACGGCGCCGGGACGCACCACGGUGAGCCUGACGCGGGGCAAGCGCGGCGGCCCCUCCAGGCACUGCCGCGGGCACCCCAGUCGCGGGCGCUGGCGGACCCUGAGGCCAGGCGGGGCAGCUUUCACCAGUGCGGUGGCAGGGAGCAAAGGACGGGUGGCUGUUUUGUCGUCUGAUGCAAAAGCGAUUCAGAACUUUGCUCCUCGUUGACGUUAAGCAGUAUUUGCGUCGAAAUUGCCCAGAAUGGCAUCAGUAUUUUUAGUUAAGAUCAAGUAGUUUGUGUGUGGCCUGAAGAAAAAAAGAAAAAAGAAAUCAUUGUCUCUAGCGUCUUCACAUUUUUUAAAAAAAUUAAAUAGAUUAAUUGGAAGGUGUGUGUAUUUAACUUACUUUUUUUCCCGGGACAGCUCACAACUUGGUUUUACAUUUUCAUUUUUUUUCUUGACACUAGAUUUGUUAAAUUAGCUAUAGUUUGGUAUGUCAUCCAGCAUUUAAUGUGUGAAAGACUUAAGGUUAGUAGCAAAAUUGAACACAUAGAUCCUCCCCAAAGUGUAUGGAGAAGGUGCAGCAUUUCCCUUCUCCCUGCAGGUCAGUAGCAGCAAGAAGCUAUUAAUUAAAACAAAGGAAAAAGAAAGACAAGAUGUCACCCUGAAUGCCAGUGGACAGUGCUGGGGCAGAGAUGUUGUCUGCAGUUACCGGAGGACCACAUAGGACAACUCCCCCCUUAUAGAGCACCUCAGCACUUCACUAUUCUUUAUGAGGAAACUGCUCCUCCUCUGCUUCAUGAUUGUCCUUCAUCUUGCAAAACUUAUGAAGGGGGCGGGGGUUGCACAGCCUCCUGCUUCUUUUUAAAACGUUCAUGUGUUCCUUCAUUCCUCCUCUCAGCGCUUACUUCUUGAGCUCUUUUUUUGCCAAUCGCAGGGGCAGGGAUUUCAGGCACACAUCUAGAGAUCAGGAUGAUUGACUGCUUGUCAGUGUAUGCUGCAUGGUCUUAGGCAAUAUUUAAACAUGCGAGGCUUGUGUCCUGGUAAACAAACUCUAAAACUGUCAUUAAUUAGCUAAGUCACCAGCAUGCAGGAGACUUAUUUACUAUCAGUAAGUUUUUAAUGAAGUGACUGAAAAGGAGAUAAGUUAACACAUUGUUUUACUACUGUCCCCAGUAACAAGUUAGCACAUAUUUCUGCAAAAAACAAAGGUCUGUUCACAAUAGGAAGAAAACACUUAGUAUUAAUUUUAAAUAGAAGUAAUGUGUUAACUAUAUGAAAACAAAACUAAUAGAAGGUAUGAAAUAAGAAUAAAGGAUCACCUGGGCACAGUGGUCCCAGCAGCUUGGGUGGCUGAGGCAGGGGAGGCUAAGGCAGGAGGAUUGGGAGUUCAAAGUCAGCUUCAGCAAAAGUGAGGUGCUAAGCAACUCAGUGAGAUCCUGUCUCUAAAUAAAAUACAAAAUAGGGCUGGGGAUGUAUCUCAGUGGUUGGUGGUCAAGCGCUCCUGAGUUCAAUCCCUGGUACCCUGUAAAAAGUAAGAAUAAAGGAUCAAUAAGAAUGAAAAUAGUUCUGUUUUUAGAUUAAAUUCAGUUCUCAACAAAAUCUAACUGGAAAUUUUAAAAAGAACUCCCAUGCUCAUUUUUCCUCCUUGAUAUCUUCUUGCCUCAUAAAAUGAUAAUGAAAGUGGUCCAUUCCUUUUUUUUUUUUACAAUUUUACUAGAAAAACAUUCUGUUAAAGGAGAACUAAGCCUAGAAAUGGUGGUUUUCAUCAAGUAAUUUAAGCACUAAAGCAUUUUGGGUUUUAAAACUUAAAUGAAAUGUCACACUGUUCCUGUUCUGCAGACAAUGCGCUUACUGUGGUGCUCUUUCUAGCAUCUCUCCUGUCAGCCAGGGCUCUUCCUUCUCUCUUUCUUGUCUGUAGGCUUUGACUUGGAACAAACAUUCAAGACAGCGUUUUUGCUCCUCUCUGCACAGUCCCUCUCUGCUGCUGCAUCCUAACCUUUCCUGUUCUAGAGACUGGGGCAGGUUGAAAAGUUGUCAGCGCCCAGAAUGUAGGCUCUGUGAAGCUGAAUGACAAGUAAUUUGGUUGGAGCUAUGUUGUGCAACUGCUGGCACCGCAGUGGGUGACUUGCUGAGCCUUUGCUGGCUUUGAGAAGGCAAAGUAAUGUGGUAGGCAAAGUAAUGGCUCCCCAAAGAUGUCCCCAGAACCUGAAUUUUAAGUGGUGAAAAAGAAUUGUGAUUCAAAAGGACUUUAAGAUGGGAACAAUUACCCUGGAUUAUUCUGAUGGGCCUGGGCUAAUCACAGGAGUCCUGAAGAGGGAAGCCAAAGGUACAGCUGGAGGGUGUGACUUGCACAAAGGCACAGAGCUGGGUGGCUGCUGGUAGUUGUUGCUGGUAGCGUGGUGGAGGAACUGGUGCCUCUGGCAGCUGGCAGGGGCAGGAAGUGGAUUUUCCCCAGGAGGCUCAGGAGGAGCAGCGCUACCCACACACUAAUGUACACCAGAGCUGUUAGGUAGUAAGUGUGUGCUCUUUUUAGCCACAGGGUGGUGGUUGGUUAAUAUAGCCUUUUGUCCUUAUAUGAGUUUCCUGUGCAAAGGUUGGCCCCCUUGUCUUCUGGCUCCGUCCUUUGACGAUGAUUCAGAAGAAAAACAGAAUGAUUAUAAAUUAAAUUAGCAAAAAGUUUUUGCUGAGGGGGGCAGUACUAGGGAUUGAAUCCAGAGCCUCACACAUGCUAGGCAAGUGCUCUGUCAAAUAGCUGCAUCCAUAGUCCUUUUGAAAAUUUUUAAGGCAGGUUCACCUUGAACUUGUGAUCCUCCUGCCCCAACCUCCUGAAUCACUGAGAUCACAGAUGUAUGCCACUGUGCCUGGCUUCAAUACUUUUUUUGGUGACUACAUCUGGUAGAAAAUGUAGGCUUUGUUAUAAUAUUUACAUCCAAAUGUUGAAGAUUUGUCAUGUUUGUCUCCUGUUAUGCCAGAUUCGUGGGACCCCAAUAGACCUCCAGGAGCCGAAUCCAAUGCAAGCACACAAGGGUCUUUAUUGCAAGCUCUAGCCUGGACUCACAACCGUUCCCGAUGCAGCGGUCUCAGGGAGUGAGUCCUGGUCCUUUGUUCAGUGAGAUUUUAUAGGUUUUGGGGGAUACUCUUUGCAUCAAACAUCAUACAGCAAAUCAUUCCAUACCGUGGGAAAAUCAAACAAUAACUCUUAACAUUGAUUAGCAUAUUCACUGGCAGGAACAAGUUGGGUAGGGGUGAUUGGCUAGUACAAGAGGGGGGUUCGUUUGAACUGAUUGAUUUAGGCCACGAGGGGUGUACGUGCUAAAUUACAUGUUUCCCAACAUGUUAUCAACCACCAUAAACUAUUUGGGGGUCAUCUGGCAUUCCAGGUAUUUCCCUGUCUUAUGCUGAUUGAAGGUUGCUAGGAGGGUUGCAUGGGUCCUCACCUAGCCUAACUGAGUCAGGGACACCUGGCUCCGCAGACCUCUCCUGUUAUUUACAGACAAACAACUCAGCAGGGUGGGUAUGUACUCUCGAGUGCUCUGUGGGUUUUUCCAAGGACAAGGGUCACGCCCCCUUCCUUAGGACAGGCCUUGAGGUAGAAGCUGCUGUUAUGUAUUUAUUUUUAAAAAAUGGAGUCACAUUAGUUUCUCACUCCUAGAAGAUUUUACCUUCUGGAGGUGGUGGGUAUAAAAAUAUCUCUCUGAAAAUUUAGAGGUCCUCUGUAGAAUGGUAUUUACUGUGAUGAUUCAGCAUGAGACCUUUCCUUGUGUCAUUUCCGGUCUCACUUAAAAAGAGCCCACUGGCUAGGAAGCCCUCAGGCACUCAUGUGAGCUUCUCAAAUGCCUUUGGUCUUUGCUUUUGCUGGGGACUUGUCCUUUGCCUUUCAUGGGUGUGUAUUGUCUUACUGGGAAGAUUUUUGGAUUCCAGAGCAUCAGGAUUGCCUCUCAUCUUUGUUUUGUUUCCUACACCAGUGACCAAAUAAGAAGAUGGGCUGGAGUUCUCUGCUGUGACCCAGGAAAGGGGGACUGCUCCCCAAAGGCCAAGACUCAUUAUGCUACUGCAGCCAGAACAAGAGAAGUAUUGCUGGAUGUAG
rnacentral:lncRNA from 1 species